AUGAACUUUAUGUAUGAACUUGUAUUAAUUUGGUCUAUUCGGUGUUGUGUAAUGAAGAUGAGCCGGCAAUGGAUGUACGAUGACCGAUGCUCUCCCCAGUUCGUUGAGGGCAUGCAUACUUUUCUACUUGCGGCUGAGGCAAACAAGCGGGCGGAUGGUUUUAUGCCUUGUCCAUGUGCUGGCUGUAAGAAUGGUCGCAAUCACUCUACGUCAAGAACCAUUCACGUCCACCUGUUUGAGUCCGGUUUUAUGCCCCACUAUAAUGUUUGGACCAAGCACGGAGAAAGAGGGGUUAUGAUGGAAGACAAUGAAGAAGAAGAGGACGACGACAUCUAUCCUGGCCAUGGGUUCCCUGAAUACGAUGAUACACCAAUGGGGGAAGAAGCUGAGCCGGUAAUGCGGGAAGAAGCUGAGUCGGCAAUGCGGGAAGAAGCUGAAGAAGAGGCAUUAGAUGAGCCCGUUGAUGAUCUAGGUCGGGCCAUUGCCGAUGCAAAGAGAAACUGCGCAAGUGAUUUGGAGAAGAAGAAGUUGCAGCGCAUGUUAGAGGAUCACAAAAAAUUGUUGUACCCGAAUUGCGUAGGUGAUAAGAAAAAGCUGGGCAUCACACUGGAAUUGCUGCAAUGGAAGGCAGAGAAUGGUGUAUCUGACAAGGGAUUUGGAAAGUUGCUGGUAAUGAUAAAGGAUAUGCUUCCAAAGGACAACGAAUUGCCCGAGAGUACGUACGAAGCAAAGAAGGCUGUCUGCCCUCUAGGGUUAGAGGUGCAGAAGAUACAUGCAUGCCCUAAUGAUUGCAUCCUCUACCGCGGUGAGUACGAGGAUUUGAACGCUUGCCCGGUAUGUGGUGCAUUGCGCUAUACGAUCAGCCGCGAUGAGCAUGGUGAUGUCGAGGGCGAGCGCCCCAAGAAGAAGAUUCCUGCCAAGGUGAUGUGGUAUUCUCCUAUAAUACCACGGUUGAAACGUUUGUUCCAAAAUAAAGAGCAUGCCAAGGCGAUGCGAUGGCACAGAGAAGACUGUAAGAAAGACGGAAAGUUGAGAGUACCCACUGACGGGUCGCAGUGGAGAAAAAUCGAAAGAAAGUACGGGAAGGAGUUUGCAGAUGACGCAAGGAGCGUAUGGUUUGGUCUAAGCGCAGAUGGCAUUAAUCCUUUUGGGGAGCAGAGCAGCAACCAUAGCACCUGGCCAGUGACUCUAUGUUUGUAUAACCUUCCUCCUUGGUUGUGCAUGAAGCGGAAGUUCAUUAUGAUGCCAGUGCUCAUCCAAGGCCCUAAACAACCCGGCAACGACAUUGAUGUGUACCUAAGGCCAUUAGUUGAAGAACUCUUACAACUGUGGAAUCGAACAGGUGUACAUGCAUGGGAUGAGCACAAAUAG
rnacentral:rRNA from 1 species